GGAUAUGGAAGAUGGCAAGCUAUUGUUGAUGACAAAGACUUGAGGAUUCAGGAGAUUAUUUUUCAAGAGUUGAAUCUUCCUUUUGUAAAUCUACCUGUCCAAGGACAAGCCAGUUCUCAAGCACAAAAUGGUGUUAACACAGUUACAGUGGAAGCUCCUAGUACCCAGGUGCAGGGAAAUGGAAAUGGUACUAACAAUGAUAUGGCAACUGAUGUUGCGCAGGGGAUGACAGAUGUUGCUAACCAACCACAGUUAUAUCAAGAUUCUCCUAUAAUUUAUCAUUUUAGAGAUAUGCAGAGACGACAGGUUGAGUUCAUUAA
rnacentral:misc_RNA from 1 species